rnacentral:lncRNA from 1 species
UCUUUACGUCGAAAUUCUUCUUAGCAAGUUGUGUUAAGCGGCAUGAUAUGUUGGCAACAACAGCAGUUUAGAGUGAUGUUCAAGAAAAAGGGUUCAUUCAGGUUGUUACAAAGGAAAUUCUCAGGAUGAGGAGUUUGGUGUCUACAGGCUAUUGAGGUUGGAUAAGGAUUGAGUCAAAGGGCUUCUGGUUUGAGGCAGUGGUGAUUCAGGUUCUGCAGGAGCUUCAAGUUAGCAUCGACAUCACCUGGAAAUUCUGGAGAAGAAGAAUCAGUAGAUUUCUAGUCACGAUCGCAUUAAGUGUGACAAACCAAAGAUGACGUUGAACAGGUAGCGUCAGAGAAAGCAGAUGGCAUUCGGUUGUGGUACACAACAACGGCGUCAGAGACGAAGGAAGAAACGUUCACAGAGGAUGAUCUCAAAGCACGUGGUGGUUUCAGGUUGGUGAAAUCAUAAUGAGAGACUUGCAAGGGAUGCAGCAAUAUUUGCAAGAAAGGAAAGACUCGCGUAACCUGCAGCAAGAAGGCUGCACAGGUGGGCAUGUUCGUGAUCAAAAGUGUUGGAGAUUGAUUUGAGUCGUUUGACAUGGAGAAUAUCUCAAGGGAAAACAG